GGGCACGUCUGCCUGGGUGUCACA
rnacentral:ncRNA from 2 species